GACGAACGCUGGCGGCGUGCUUAACACAUGCAAGUCGAACGGAAAGGCCCUGCUUUUGUGGGGUGCUCGAGUGGCGAACGGGUGAGUAACACGUGAGUAACCUGCCCUUGACUUUGGGAUAACUUCAGGAAACUGGGGCUAAUACCGGAUAGGAGCUCCUGCUGCAUGGUGGGGGUUGGAAAGUUUCGGCGGUUGGGGAUGGACUCGCGGCUUAUCCGCUUGUUGGUGGGGUAGUGGCUUACCAAGGCUUUGACGGGUAGCCGGCCUGAGAGGGUGACCGGCCACGUUGGGACUGAGAUACGGCCCAGACUCCAACGGGAGGCAGCAGAGGGGAAGGUUGCACAAUGGGCGGAAGCAUGAUGCAGCAACGCCGCGUGCGGGAUGACGGGCUGCGGGUUGUAAACCGCUUUCGCCUGAGACGAAGCGUGAGUGACGGUAACGGGUAAAGAAGCACCGGCUAACUACGUG
rnacentral:rRNA from 1 species